rnacentral:rRNA from 1 species
GACGAACGCUGGCGGCGUGCCUAAUACAUGCAAGUAGAACGCACAGUUUAUACCGUAGCUUGCUACACCAUAGACUGUGAGUUGCGAACGGGUGAGUAACGCGUAGGUAACCUGCCUGGUAGCGGGGGAUAACUAUUGGAAACGAUAGCUAAUACCGCAUAAUAUUAAUUAUUGCAUGAUAAUUAAUUGAAAGGUGCAAUUGCACCACUACCAGAUGGACCUGCGUUGUAUUAGCUAGUAGGUGAGGUAACGGCUCACCUAGGCGACGAUACAUAGCCGACCUGAGAGGGUGAUCGGCCACACUGGGACUGAGACACGGCCCAGACUCCUACGGGAGGCAGCAGUAGGGAAUCUUCGGCAAUAGACGAAAGUCUGACCGAGCAACGCCGCGUGAGUGAAGAAGGUUGUCGGAUCGUAAAGCUCUGUUGUAAGAGAAGAACGGGUGUGAGGGUGGAAAGUUCACACUGUGACGGUAUCUUACCAGAAAGGGACGGCUAACUACGUG